rnacentral:misc_RNA from 1 species
GAUGAAGAACGUAGCGAAAUGCGAUAAGUAAUGUGAAUUGCAGAAUUCAGUGAAUCAUCGAAUCUUUGAACGCACAUUGCGCCCGCCAGCAUUCUGGCGGGCAUGCCUGUUCGAGCGUCAUUUCAACCCUCGACUUCCCUUUGGGGAAAUCGGCGUUGGGGACUGGCAGCAUACCGCCGGCCCCGAAAUGGAGUGGCGGCCCGUCCGCGGCGACCUCUGCGUAGUAAUCCAACCUCGCACCGGAACCCCGACGUGGCCACGCCGUAAAACACCCCACUUUCUGAACGUUGACCUCGGAUCAGGUAGGAAUACCCGCUGAACUUAAGCAUAUCAAUAGCGGAGGA